AACUGCAGAAGAGUGAAAAACCUAGCAACAUGAAAUUAAAUCUUUUUCUGCUUUGGCAUCAGUAUGCCCAUGGAGAGUGCUGAAGACAUGUGGAAGAUUUAAUGCUCAGGGAGAGCAGGAGAUUAUUUGCUUCUGCCCCAGCAACAGAGCUAUUCUAAGAGCUCUGAUUGCUUAAGAGAGGCAGGGCCCAGACACAGAAACUGUGGAUAUGGAGGGCUGACCAGAUAGAAUUUCUUUCUUCUUAAAUGAGAUAGAGUGGAUUCUGUUGUCUGCAAUAAAGUCUGGUUUAAUGACUGAAUGCAUGAGUAAAAAUACCAGGGAUUUUGGGAAUGUGCGUUCUCAUUGUGGAAGAAGGAGAUACCAGUGUGGAUUGAAAAGUGAUGAUUCUUUCCUGAAUUAGUUAUUUCUAUGAUGGUUCCAAAAAG